rnacentral:lncRNA from 1 species
UCAGGGUGCAAUGCAACAACACAGCACCAGCCCAAGAUUCAAAGGCAGCGCGAGAAGCAGGGAGACAACUGGGGUUCCUGCAACAAUGUAAGUGUACUAUAUUAUCUACAUGGCGAGGGUCCCAAAGUCUGUGUGUGCGCAUCAAUCGUCUUUCUAAUACUCACACCUAAUCCCUAUACUGUGUUUGUGUACAAAAUAGAUUCGGGGACAUGGCGACAGCCCAGGAGUCUGCAGAUUACGUGAAUGCAUUCAAUGGUGACGACGACCUUGGGUUUAUCCCGGCAAUAGCGUGGACGGACAAUGGCAACAGAAGCAGCAAUGAGCAACACGUACCAAGUCCCGACAAUGUGUUGUCAUCGACAUCAUCACAUAACGGAGAAACUGUCACGGUCCAUGGGUACUACAACAACAACGCCACCGACAACAACCCGAUAAUAUACAGCAACUCCGCUUGGUCAGAUCGUAAAGACGACACCGUCGCAAUACACGCUGUGGGAUCCAAGCCAGCCUCGGUCGAGCUCAGCUGUACCAAAGAACAAAAGGACACGAUGCUAGUAGGACAACACGCAGCAGUAGAUACCUUAUACUACGAACGCGUGUCGCCUGUUAGUACGCCUGCUGUACCGCCGCCGCCGCCGACACGCCACACAAACCUGGAUGACGGCGAGUACCCUAACCCUAACCCACUCCAGUCUAUACUUGAGAUAGUUUCCAAAGCUGUGAAAUGUACAGUGUGCCAAUGUACGUUCAACGCCACUGUGCUCUGUGUCGACUACGCGAUUAAGCUAAACAGACCCCUGCAGUGUGCCUGCGGUUGUGUCAUAUGCUCUGUGUGCUACACGAAAUACAAGGGGUGCGCUAUACACAAAGUGCAGUCGAGGCGCGCUACUGUCAAUGUCACUGUCAACCAGCUAGCUAGCGUGGCAGACGCGAAGUGGGAUCUAGAGCUAGACCAAACGGCUGCUUUCAGGACCGAAGGGGAUAAAGGCGUGCAGACGAUCAUGCAUCUACAUAGCAGUGCUCCGACUGUGGACGAAUUGAGAAAUGCUUUCGAGAGAUUAAUCGACAACCAAGACGAGAUGGCUUUCAAGUACUGGCUGAACUCGCCUUUGCCGGAGGCGAUGGCCUACAGAUUUGUGUGCAUGCCACACAUUCCGGGCUUUUGGGAUCACAUCGCCGUGGGUUGCCACACGCCUAACACACAACUCAUGUUGUCGCCCGACGUGUACACGCCACGACUGUUCGAGGUGAACAUGGGCAGUCUACAUUUCCACUGGUGCUGUUUUGUGUUUGUCGACCAGACUAUACUGGCCGUGUGGUGCUCAAGGCAAACCAACACUAGUUUGCCAGAAGUUCUGCCUAUCACAGACAGAACGGACCCGAGAGUACGCCAGUUGACGUCGUCUAAUGGGUUCAACUCGAUGCUAUAUUAUCUACACAGAUGGAUCCGCGUACACUACGGUAAAGGCGAUGCUGAUGUCGUUGAGGUUGUGUUUGACUGUAUGCCUUCCGAGAGCUCAACCUUUGUGCAUUUCAUCUCUACGCUGGCAGCUAAAAGUUCAGCCUCGUCUGUGUUCUCGCCUGCGAUUACACAACACAGAACGGAGACAGACUUACAUUACACCAUCGACCACAGAUACCCAGAGCAACUAUUCAGUCACCCUCCAAAUGAUUUAGACGGGGGCGUCAAAAUUGACAUCAGACAAGAGUUUGGAUCUCACCACGAAGUGGGAUUUGAAAUGCUACCGAAGCUUUACUUUACUAACAACGACCACAGGGCAUACACUUGACACUUCUGUUACACAGAAAAAGUGUUGUGAAACCAUGAAGCUAAGUCUUUCUCACUGUACUUUUUUUUGUAUUCAUGUUUUUAAUAUGUUUUUCGAUAUACAUGCACACGUGUUGUAACCACGAAGUCUUUUUUACUAAUGUGUAUCUGGUAUAAACGAUGAAGGUAAAUGCUACACUGAAGGGAAUGUGUCUCAAGGGAAGCACAUGUGUUGUAACCACGAAGUCUUUCUUACCAAUGUGUAUCUGGUAUAAACGAUAAAGGUAAAUGCUACACUGAAGGGAAUGUGUCUCAAGGGAAGCACAUGAGUUGUAACCAUGAAGUCUUUCUUACCAAUGUGUAUCUGGUAUAAACGAUAAAGGUAAAUGCUACACUGAAGGGAAUGUGUCUCAAGGGAAUGUGUCUCACUUGGUGCCUAAAGCGUUAUGUGCAAACGCGUAUGUUAUUGGUACUGUGUCUCAUAUUGUAAUCGUUUUGUUUUUAAUGCUCAUGUAAAGUGCAUUCUGGUUUGCUGAAGGGCACCUGUGGAGUUUUUGGUGCUUAUACACUUAUGUCUUUUUUUGUGAUAAAUAAUCAAAGUGUAAUCUACAAA